rnacentral:rRNA from 1 species
CGCCUGUUUACCAAAAACAUCACCUCCAGCAUUCCCAGUAUUGGAGGCAUUGCCUGCCCAGUGACAACUGUUCAACGGCCGCGGUAUCCUGACCGUGCAAAGGUAGCAUAAUCAUUUGUUCUCUAAAUAAGGACUUGUAUGAAUGGCCGCACGAGGGUUUUACUGUCUCCUACUUCCGAUCAGUGAAAUUGACCUUCCCGUGAAGAGGCGGGAAUGCACAAAUAAGACGAGAAGACCCUAUGGAGCUUUAACUAACCAACCCAAAGAGAAUAAAUUUAACCAUUAAGGAGUAACAACAAUCUCCAUGAGUUGGUAGUUUCGGUUGGGGUGACCUCGGAGAAUAAAAAACCCUCCGAGCGAUUUUAAAGACUAGACCCACAAGUCAAAUCACUCUAUCGCUCAUUGAUCCAAAAACUUGAUCAACGGAACAAGUUACCCUAGGGAUAACAGCGCAAUCCUAUUCAAGAGUCCAUAUCGACAAUAGGGUUUACGACCUCGAUGUUGGAUCAGGACAUCCUGAUGGUGCAACCGCUAUCAAAGGUUCGUUUGUUCAACGAUUAAAGUCCUACGUGAUCUGAGUUCAGACCGG